rnacentral:rRNA from 1 species
UACGGAGGGUGCAAGCGUUAUCCGGAUUCACUGGGCUUAAAGGGCGCGUAGGCGGGUCCGUCAGUCAGGGGUGAAAUCCCACGGCCCAACCGUGGAAGUGCCUUUGAUACUGCGGGCCUCGAGGGGGAUAGGGGCGUGCGGAACUCAGGGUGGAGCGGUGAAAUGCGUAGAUAUCCUGAGGAACACCGGUGGCGAAAGCGGCGCGCUGGAUCCCUUCUGACGCUGAGGCGCGAAAGCCAGGGGAGCAAACGGG